GGUGGCAUGCUCUCCAUUGUUGGAAGUCUUUAACUUCUUUUUCAUUUUGCUUGAUAGUCAUUUAUACCUUGGAAAGCAAUAAAUAUGCCGUGAUGAAAACAAGCACACAAAAAAGCAUAACAUUGAUUUGGUGGUUUUUAUAAGCUCAGGAUGUUUUCUAUAUCGAAGAUUGAUUUUUCUGUCUUAACCAUUUGCUAGAUAGGAAAAUUGCCCGAUAGUUCCCGCUUAAAUCAUGCUCUCUCUCUCUCUCUCUCUCUCUCUCUCAAUCUAAAAUAGAGACAUGAUUCAAAAUUAACAUCACAAAUAUUGUUGAUGCCACAUCUUUUGUUGAGAAGUCAUGAAACAAAAGACAUGUUGCUAAGAUCCUGAAAGAUUGAAAAAAGUUAUUUCUAUAUGAUUAUAUCAGUUUUAACAUUACCCACUACCCAAUAUUUGAACAGUCAAUGCUUGGAGGCUUAUGUCAAUCUCUAACAAUUGUUCGAAUUAUUGUAUCCAAGUAUGCAUUAUACAUUCAAUUGAGCCAAUGAAGCAUGUGUGCCAACGAAUUUUGAAGAGUUCGGCUUGGUUUUCUCUCUUUGAUCUUUAAUAUUUAAGUGUGAGGCACCUGUUUGUUGACUAAUUGAGUCCCUUCUCUAAGUUUUUAGUAGAUAUUGUGUAAUUUGCUUUUAUGAGCACUUCUUUAAGCUGUCAAGUUCCCAAAAUGUACAAGGAGAUAUCAAGUUUAACAAGUCACGAACUAUGAUCAAUCCAAAUGCAGUGAAAUUAGGGAUUUUACACUUAAAAACUUAGUUAGCUUUAGACCAUAGGAGUAAGAUUUUGCACAUGUGAUUAUCAUUGACCAUCUCAUUUUAUUUUUCUGGAUAAGAAACAAACUGUCAUUGAAGGGAGAAGAAAGUGUACAAAAACAAAGUUUCUGUAAGCUUGCUGCCAUUUGAAAAUUCUGGAAGCUAUUAAUUCUGCUUCAUCGGUGACUCAAACCUUAAGCGGAGAAGUGGCUGACGGUCAACGUAAGCUCAUAGCCCUUGCAGCUGCACGAGGAAACUCAAGUGCAGUAAAUCCUCUGGUCACACAACUCACUAAUGGACCUUUGGGUGGUCUUCAUGAGAAGGUCGUGGAUUCCGUGCUGCUGCAGUAUAUUUAAAUGCUGCUGUCCUCCACUGUUUGAGCCUGGGCCUCCGCCACUACCAUAGUGGUAUAUUUUCUUAGGAGCCUACUUUGCAUGAAUUAUUUUGUGUAAUUGGUUGACUUAAAUCUUUAUUUGAUCUAACUAUUCCAAUUUGGCUAAUUUGUUUUUUAAUUUUUUAUUAUAUUGGAGUUGAAUUUGGUA